GAGUGGGUAAAAUACUUGUUUCUUAAAAUGUUAUAUUAAUGACUUAAGUAUCAUUAUUGUUAUAUGCAUCAAUGAUUUUUUUUUGCUAUGAGUGAGUAAAAUGGUUAAAAUGAUUCUUAAUAUGUUGUAUCAAUGACUUAAGUAUCAUUAUUGGUAUAUGCAUCAAUGAUGUUUUUUGCUAGAAUACUUCCCAGAAGACUUCUAGUGAAAGUGUUAUAUCUUUGAACUUAUGUAAUGGUUUAUUUUUUGUGAAUUUGACUAAGUUUUCUUGAGAAUUCUUCUCCCUUAGUUGUAAUAAAUUUGAUUAACUUUUUCUGUUAUUGUGUUUUGCUAUUGAAGUUGUAUCAAUAACUUCAAUUAUGUCAAGUAAUUUUGGCAAGAUAAUAUUGUGGAAUAUGAACAUAUUUACCAAUUUUUUUAUUAAUAUCUCUUCAGAUUUACAAAAAAAGAUCACAACUAAAGGAGUACACAUGCAAAUCACAAAACAGACCAUAAACAAAACUAUUAUAGAUCAUUCCUCUACAAACACAAGCUUAGACUCCACUUGAUACGGAAGAAAACUCCGCCAGGAGAAUUCUCGGAACUCUUCUAGCGCAUUAUAUUUUAGAAGACUUCCGAGAAGAUUUCCCAUAAAUCUUCCAAAGUCUGCUCCAGAUCUGAAAAACAUGCAUAUAAAAAAUUGUUCAAAUGGCUUAAAAACAGAGAAAAUGAGUUCAAGAUUAUAUAGAUCUACUUUUAUAGAACACACAAAGUACAUAUCCAAGUGGAAGAUGGGAACCAUCUGGUUAAAAACCUGCAACAAAAAGAUAGAUUAGUGAGAAAGACGUGAGACAAAAAUGAAGAAUUCAUAUAAAGUUUGGUGUUUUCAAGUUAAAGAAAUUAAAAUGGGUUUGGAGAGUUUUAGUUUGGGAAAAAGGUAAGAACUUUAUGCAACAUGAAAUUCUGUUUUUUUGUUUGGUUACAAGGGGCUGGAUGUAAUUUCACAAGACUUUUAGGUUAGUUUUGCAUUUGAUUCAAGUUUGGGUAUAGUUUUGUAUUUAAAAUCAAAUUUUGAGUCAUAUUUGGCAAAUCCCCCUGAUAUAUAUAUAGUGUUUCUAUUUUCACAUGAAUGU
rnacentral:lncRNA from 1 species